AACGAACGCUGGCGGCAUGCCUAACACAUGCAAGUCGAACGAGACCGUCGGGUCUAGUGGCGCACGGGUGCGUAACGCGUGGGAACCUGCCCGUAGGUUCGGAAUAACUCCCCGAAAGGGGUGCUAAGACCGGAUAAUGUCUUCGGACCAAAGAUUUAUCGCCUUUGGAUGGGCCCGCGUUGGAUUAGCUAGUUGGUAGGGUAAAAGCCUACCAAGGCGACGAUCCAUAGCUGGUCUGAGAGGAUGAUCAGCCACACUGGGACUGAGACACGGCCCAGACUCCUACGGGAGGCAGCAGUGGGGAAUAUUGGACGCUGGGCGAAAGCCUGAUCCAGCAAUGCCGCGUGAGUGAUGAAGGCCUUAGGGUUGUAAAGCUCUUUUACCCGGGAUGAUAAUGACAGUACCGGGAGAAUAAGCUCCGGCUAACUACGUG
rnacentral:rRNA from 1 species